rnacentral:lncRNA from 1 species
CAUAAAAAGCAUAUUUCUAAUGGCACAAUGCUUAAUGGACAAUGUGCUGGUAAAUGUUUAAUACCACAACAUCGACAACGUACAUUAUCAGACAAAGAAGACAGUAGAAAAAAGUUGUCAAGAACUGCUUUAGACAAAGAUCUUCCAACCAGUUGAUGAUUUUUUUCAAUUAUUUCGUAAGGUGGGUAAAAAACUGGAUCGUCUAUCAGUUGCAUUUCCGAAUCAUUAAUAUACUCUGAAGAAGUUAAUUUGUUAGCCACCUCUAAAUUGAUGGUGGAUAGAGUUUUGUUAAAUUCAUCUUCUUUGGGAGUUGUUGCUAAUAGAGAUUUAGCUAAGAUAGAGUCAAAAUGAACAUCUGCAGACUUUUGAGAAUCAGAUUCAUCAUUUAAGUUUUCGAUAUUUACGCUCGAAUCAUAUUUGAGUUUUUGCUUAUCAGAUAAAGUAUCUGUUAUCGAACUGAUUGUCUCAGUUUCUAUGGGAAAUGGGGAGCCUGGUGAUGAUCGAUCAUUAACGGUAUAAUCAGUAUCGUCGCUAUUAUCAUAAAUAUUUAAAUCUUCGCCAUAAUGGAUUUUGUGGUGUGCACGAAGUCUCCUGUUGGAAGUUGUUUCGUCUGUUUUUUCUAGCAUUGCAUCCUUCUCUCGUUGCUUAAGUAUUACUGACCAGACAUCUUCUUCAUCAACAAGAACAUUUUCUUUGACUUCAUAAUGAUUGGAAGAUAUAUGUUUGUUAUCCCAAACACGAAAAAAGCCAAACUUAUUGCUUUUUAUAUCUGAUUCAUCAGUUGAAGUAUCUUCUUGUUUCUCAGCUUCUGAGAUAAGUAAUUCUACCGAAUAUUCAUUAUACUUAAUAGACGGUUCAUCACCAGCCUCUUCAAAUAAUGCACGAGCCCCAUGCCGCAAGAUACUUUCUAAAUCUUUUUCUGAAUUAUGAUUUUGAUCCAAUGACUCAACAAUUAAGUGGUCCAAUACAAGCUUCUUUUGAGCGUUUUGAAUGAUUUUUUCCUCUACAGAAUCUCGAGUAGUUAACACAAAGACAAGUACCUUUUUUUUUUGCCCAUAUCGAUGAGCCCUUGCAAUCGCUUGCAUGUCUUGAUGAGGAUUGAAAUCAGGAUCUAGUAUAAUAACAGUGUCCGCACUAGCUAAAUUGAUGCCAACUCCACCAGCACGGGUAGAAAGUAAGAAACAUGACAACUCAGAAUUAGGAGCAUUAAAAGAGUCGAUUGCUGACUGCCUUUCCAUUUCCGAUGAGGCGCCAUCAAAACGUGCAUAGGCUAUGUUUUUAUAUUCAAACCAAUCUUCAAGGAUAUCGAGUUGCUGGAUAAAUUGAGAAAACAAUAAUAUACGAUGCCCGCGAGUUAUCAAUUUCGGUACCAAUAAGCGUAAUAUUAAAAACUUACAGCUGGCUUCUUCCAGUGAACGCAUAGCAAGUUCAUACGGGAGAUUACGGUCUUCAAUAUCUGGUGAAUAAAUGUACGGAUGAGCUAAUGUUUUUCGAAGUUGCAUCAAAAUGUUGUUCAAUGAAGUAGUCCUUUGCCCUCCAGAAGAACUGGUAUUAGCAUAGCCGGUAAUAUUACGUAGCAAAGACAAAUUUUUUGAAAGAAUCGAUUUGUAUAAACCUUUUUGAACAGGUGUCAUGGACAAAGGAAUAAUUACUUCAACCUUCGUAGGAAAGUUAUCCAGUACUUCGCUUUUCACUCUUCUUAAAAAAAACGGCUUUAAGAUUUGAUGAAGUUCAGUCACCUUUUCCGUAUCAAUAAUGCUGUAUCUUUUUUCAAGCUCAGCAGCAUUUAUUUUCAUGGGAUUUAAAAACUGCAGUAAAUUAAAAAGUUCCCGAACAUUAUUUUGCAAUGGCGUCCCGGUUAAAAGAAGCUUAAAGUCACUUUUAACCGAAGAGAGGUAAUAAAAGAGGGAAGAUUGAUCAUUUUUUAGUCGUUGUCCUUCGUCAACAAUUAAAACUUUCCACUGAAAUUUUCGGAGCAAUGAAAUUUCACGUUCAACAUUUGAAGCACUUAUAACGAGGACAUGAGUGCUUACAUGUUUUGGGUCUUUUUGAUUGAUUAGACGAUAAUCACGGACUAAACUUCUGUUUUUUUCAGAGCCCACGAGUACAUUAAUUUGUAGAAAGGGAGCCCAUUUUUUAAGCUCUCGUUCCCAAUUUGCAACAGUGGCAUGAGGGACAAUAACCAGUACCGGGAAGCAUUUAUGUCUGUAAAAUAAAACACUAAUGAAA